rnacentral:pre_miRNA from 1 species
GUGCUUUGCUAUUUUCAUUGACUUAUGAUAUCGUGAUAUUGAGAAUUCAAUGAUGUAUAGCAAGGAACCU